GUCCAAACCACCUUAAAGCAACAUACAAACUGCUUUAUUGAUUGCAGUUAACAUGUUACAAUUAAAUUAGGAUUUCAAGCAUUAAGCCAGAGGCUUAUAGUAACUAUAAGCUGCCAUCAUGGUCAUGUGGAAUUGGACGAAGAGAUGCUAGUCACUAGGGCAUCUUGGAGUCAUUUCUGCUUCUUGGGCAUUGAAGCCAUCAUCAGUUCAUAAAGAACAUAGCCUGUUCCAAAAACUGUCAAACCCAUGGUGACUCUGUACAACAGACCAUCCAUGAUCCCACCUUUAAGAUACACGGGGAGGCCAUUAUCCUCCUGGAACAGCUUCUGCUUCUCAGGAACUCUGUUCUCCAGCAGCCUGCGCGAAGCAGUGCUUAUGGUCCUCUGGGAAACUUGGCGAAGACUCAGCAGGUUCCGCCACAUCGCGGUGCUUGGUCCCUUCACCUCCUGCCGGCAGCAAGGGCAGCGGAAGCGGAAGCGGCACGAAGCGCCGCCCCGCAGCGACAGGCGGCGAGAAAAUGGCGGCCGCCAGCGCUGGGGCUGUGGGGGUCAGUCCCGAGGGGGCGGGGAUAAGGGCGGCAGUCCUGGCUCGGCUGUGGCGCGGAGAGUACAAAGCGUAACCACGCAGCUGUUCCUGGCCUCAAACUUCAUCAGUAGCAUGGAUGCUGAGUGUUCUGCAUGCAAACAGAACUCAGAAGUCAGUUAAGUGAUUCACAGCGUAUAAUUGCAGAUGGGGAAGGAACACCAGAACUGUAUGGAACACAAACCUAUUUGAAUCCGAAGGAAGAAUCUUUUUGCCCUUUAGGAAAGUGCUCUGUAAGCCUCUGGUUUCUGCACUGCAGAUCCUGCCCAGGCGUGCAUCAUCUCCUUCCCCUGGCUGACCCUGCAGUACAGCACUGCCAGAACACCACUUCCCAGCUCGCUGCAGUAGCAGGGCACUUAACUCCUGGCAUUAAAGUGCUGGUGCUGGUGCCAGAGCUGAUGAUGAAUAAUCUGUGUCAAAGACAGCAAAUCAGCAUUCAACCCAGUACAGAAAUAACAAACUAUAUCCCAAAGCACAGCACUUCCCUGUCUGAUGACCUGCCUCAGAAAAGCACUAUCAAAAAACGCAAAGAUGGAAAGGUAUUUAUCCAUAGUCUUAGCUGAGUGCAAUAUUAAAAACGUUAUUUAUAAAGCACAAUCAUAGAGAAAAAUGAUGCACUGCAGCAAAGGAAGAAUUCAGAUGCAUUAUUUAACCUAUAUUAAUAAAAGGAUCGUCACCUGCAGAGAAAUAAAUGUUGCCUCAUUUCUGCUAUGUGAACUGUUUCCCAAAAUGACUGAAUCUGAGCUUCAGAGCUAUUGCCUGGAGUUCACACUUAAAGCUUGGUGUGCAGUUACCUCCUGAUCAAAGCUUGGAGCAAGCAGAAGGGCUGCCUUCAACAUUCACUAUUUUACGAAGAAACAGUUUGAGGGAAAGGAAGAGAAAUGGCAUCUUGCAGCCACAGGGCAAAGGCAUUUCACUAGAAGCAAAAUCAGACACAUUUUCCCUCGUAGAUUAAAUUUAACAUACAUUGUAUUGAAGAAUAAUGAAAUUGAUCAUCAGAACUCAUUACACUGUUUUGUUUAAGCCUGCCUGAACAGGGCUGUUCAUCUAUUUCCGAUUAAUAGUUUGAUCUUUUUUUUUUUUAGCAAGGUUUAAAAAGAUAUAC
rnacentral:lncRNA from 1 species